rnacentral:tRNA from 1 species
GGUAUAGCUUAGUGGUAGAGUAUGCCCAUAGCCAGCACAAGACCCUGGGUUCAAUUCCCAGCACCA